CCCUGUUAAUGAGUAUCUAGUCAGUCUUUAUGCCAGGCAUGUUAUUUUUGAUUUCUCUAGCUUUGAUUUUCAAACUGCUGUACAUUUGCAGGGUGCUAAUACAUUGCAUUACACCUAGUAAGCAGUCUUUAGGCGUUUUGAUAGAGCACUGCUGAGCUGAACACAUAGGUCAGAGGCAAAAUUCAGUUUCAGGUUGAAGAAUGAGUCUGUAGCAGUUCUCCUGAUGAACUUGCCAGCAGGAUUUCUCAGCUGCUUCUCAUUCAGAUCCUAAGUGGUACUUGACCAUCCAGCAGUUCUUGCUACUCUCAUGCUGUACAGACCAGUGAUUAUGAGUAGAGACAUUGAAUUGAAGGUUCCUGAGAAAUGAGGAUGCUUAAACCCUUCAUGGUAGCAUUGUAGCUUCUCAGUUCUGCUCUUCCUUUCCUCUUGUGUUGUUGGUUGGAUGUUCAGCUCUGCUUGUCUCCUUAUGUAGAGAGAAGGAGGAGAAAAGCAUUUCCUGCAAUCUCUUGGAUGUGUUGAGCCAACAAGCUGCUGGUGCAGAUGCAAAGCUAUGCUGCAAGGUUUGAGAUUUUUUUGAGUGUACCUUGCUGUUUCUCAAAUUAUUUUUUGAUGUGGUCUGUAGGGGUAAAAAUACUGCAGGAUUCUUCAAAUUUCUUUGAUACUAUUCCUUACCUACAUGAAAUAUGAGAACUUGAGUUACUAAUUUUGUCAGCAUCUAGAUGAUAGAUGUAGCAGAGAAAUGUAGGCAUGUACUUAGGAGCUAAUUUGCUCCUAAAAUCAUUUAAUGCAAAAAAACAUUCAUCAUGUUUGUGAAGCAUUAGAACAUAUAUUUUCUGUAGUGUUCUGGUAAACAUGAAAUCUUCUCUAUGUUUCUUCCAUGGCAGUUCAUAGAAAAUAAAUGUGCUUUUUUCCCUCUCCUUUUUUACUUCACUGACUCUUGGUUGUAAAGUUUUAGCCUUUUCUCUCAUGUCAAGUGGAUGUUUCUUUUAUGUGCCUUAGGAGUGUGGGUUCAGAAGGGUUUGCAGUGUAGCAUGUAAAAUCUAAAGGUCACAAAUUAAAUCUAUUUCACUGAGCCAGAGUGAGAUCUGUGCAGUGAAGGCUGCACCUUCCCCAUGGUGGGAGGCUGUGUGGCCAGAGAGGUGUCUUCACCAAUGUAGGUCAUCUUUUUUCUUCCCUUGGAAGUAGCUUGAAAAAUCCUUCUAGCAGCUAGGCUGAGGUUUAAAAUAGAAGUAGCUAAAGAACAUCAAAUGUGUGGCUGUAUCAGUAGAAGUUGCUGAAAUGAGAUCCAGAUGUGCAAGUAUUUGAGUAGCUCUUAGUGAUUUUCCUGGUAUGAGAUGUGAGCAGUGUGGGAUGGGCAGAGUGUUUGUUUAUACAUAUGGAAGAGCACUAAUGUGGUUGCUCAGCUCUUAAUUGCUGUGAUUAGCUCCACCCCUUCUUUGGCUGAGGGAUAUGUAGCAAUGGAAAUUUGCAUUUCAGGAAUACAUGAAAAGCAGUGCUCUUCUGUUACAGCAAAGUCUAGACUCUAGCAUAAAGCUUUAGAGUCCAAUUUUGUGGUGGGAAUAAUCAUCCUUCUUCUCAGAGGCAACACUUGGAAUGUUUUUUUUUCCUUUAACUUUAGUAAUUUUCACUUAUUUGAGCUUUUUCUACUGAUUCUGUGUUUCUAAUUAUACAAAGGCCAUAUAUUCGAGUUCUUGGGAUUCAGGUGUGAUAUCCUGACUUUCCAUGAAGAUUAUUUCUGCAGGGUGGCAAUAAUAUUUUGGCAUUCUGAAGAAAAUUGGUCUAUUUUUUGGUAGACUUGUCUUGUUUGAGCUAUCACGUGCAAAUGAAAGCAUGUGUCUGCAGAUAGGAUCUUCCUACUGAGAUAGGCUAUUUUCAGUCUUGCUUUUAUGUGAACAAAGGGUGGAAGUGAAUUAGCUCAGAAAGUUUUCUACUCGAUGUUUCUACAGAAUGAGUGACCUUGGGAAAAAGAGGGGACAUCAGACAUUUAGGAAAGCAGUUGUAUAUUAGACCAGUAGAGGCAGUCUUCUUCACUAAUGCAUGAAAUCCAAAUCCAAAGGAGCAACAUGCUUGUAGGCUGGGUAACCAGGAGAGGAGGAGAAGUACUAACACUAAAUGAUAUCUGUGCUGUCUUCUGUGGCUCUUUGUUUGAGCUUCUACAAGCUUGAAGUGCAAAGAAGUUGUGUGUUUUGCAUCUUUUUAACCAUUGUGUAUUUCUUACAAAGCCUCUAGUAAUAAUUAAUGCAGGACAGACCACAAGGAUGUUUGGUGUAACUUUUUUUUUUUUAAUUUAAAAAUGCAUGUUUUUCAGAUACAGAGCUGGAUCUUGCCAUAGAGACUGAACUUUGCUCUUGAUGUAACAGAAACAUGGGGUACAUAAUUCACAUUGAUUCUCUAUUGUCAGGUACUGUGUUGGUAGGUGAAAAUUAGAUAAUGAUGCCUGAAUUGAUUAAUCCCCUAGGCAUGGAGGAACUGCAGUGUAUAAAUAUGUAAGAGAACUUCCAGGAGGAAGCGUGGGAUUGGCAGGGCCAGGUGGAUCUCAAGCAAAGACAGACUCCUUUUUGAUGCACAGAGCCUCUGCUUGUGUUAGCAAAAAAUUCUUCUCUGUUCCAAACUGAGACCACAAAACCUUUAGUGAGAAAAAACCCCACAAUCAGACUUUUAAUACCAAGAGCCUGAGAAUGAUUGCAGUUACUUACAGAGAUAGGAUUGCUUGAUGAAAAUUGAGAUGUGUGAUUAGAUGUUCAUUUGCUUGUUACACUCAUGGUUCAGUCCUGUCAUUGAAACAGUUCAGCCAGUGCAGGUGUUUUAAUGCUGCCUGUAAGAAGAUGGCUGCUGGCAGAAUGAAAGGGGGAGAAAAAGCCUAUGGCUGUGUAAAUGCACACUUUUUAUUUCUCUAUUAGUUGUCUAAAUAAGCUUUUUUAGAAACUAUAGUUAUUAACAGCAAUCAGAAAUCAGGCUGUGAAGAAGUUAAAACUCAUUUUUAUAUCUUACUACACAAGUGCCUGGACUCCUUAAUCUACUAAUAAUGUUUUAGCUUCCAUUCUCAUCUCAUAAUCCCUGAAGAACAUUCAUGAUGCCAUAUGAAUUGAGUUGUUAUCUCUCCUUGUUUGUGUGGAGAAGUUUGUUUGCUGGCUUUCCUGAAAGGAUUUCAGGACUUCAUUUAUACCAUGUGGUAUUCUAGCCUCUGCACACACACUAGGAUGCUAAAGCUGUGGCACAGUAUGAAAUCAGCUGGAGCCUGGAUAUAUUUUAAAUUUACAAAAAUCUAGCAAAAUUGCUAUUUCCCUGUAGGUGGCUCUUGGCCUGUGCAGUGCUCUGGGUUGUAGCCUGCAGGGCAGUGCUGCUCUUCACUGCCUGAUGCAGCUGCUGGCUGAUGUCUGGCAGAAGAGGGAACAUGUGGAAAGGGAUUAUUAGAGCACAAGCAUCAGUCACAUCCUGGAUUCUUGGGCUGGGUACCAUGCACUUAAACUUGUUAGAAUAAUACCUGGAAUAAUCAAGAUAUGCUCCACUACUUAAAUCAAGUUUAUUUUUAGCCCAGUGGUUUUUGAAUUGAAACUGCUCAGGCAAAACUUGCUUUUGAAGUAUUUAUAAUUGCUUCUUACAGUGUUGCACACAAAUUUCAGUUUAAUCUUGACUGAAGGAAUUUGGGCAUACCAGUAGAUGGCUUCUCAGUGCCCCUUUGCAACCUUACACUGGGGGGAAAAUUUAAAAAAAACCCCAAGAAAUAACUGGCAAGUAGAGAAGUUGGACAGAAGAUUAUAUGACUCCCUAGUUUCUUUUCAAUAUUUAUUGUUACAUUUUGUGAAUAUUUUUCCUUUUCUAGGUGUUUUCUACAUCUUCUGGACAUAGGCUUUGUCCCUUUCAGUCUCUUAUGGUUCAUCAUGCACCAGUAGUCAGCAUGGUCAGAAGGCUUGACUUAUAUUUACCUUACAGUUUAGAACUCCUUGCAAACAUUUAAGAAGGAAAAAAGAAAACCCCAACAUAUUUCACAUCUUCCUGGUUUUCAUUAUUUUAAAUUGAAGUGAUUAGGAAGCUGAGUUUUAAUGAGUUUUUAGUAGAGGUGAGAUUGAGAAGUGUUUGUGUAACUGCUCAUUAUAUUUGUCUGAAAACAUCUUUUUGGGUGUCACCUUACUCAGUGCCUUCUCAGGUACCUGCUGCUUUGCAAGGCUCAAGUGGAAUAUUUGUGAGACUGACAAGAGAGAGGCAGAGGAGGAUAAAAGUCAAUGGUGUUCUCAGGAGUGGAGCUCACUGCCUGCUUUUUUCACGUGUGAUUUGGGUUGGGAGAAGAGCAGAACCAAACAUUUCUGGUGUUUUGUCCAUUGAUUCCUGGUGAAAAGCAGCACAGAGCUGCACAAGCUGGCUGAAGGAGGACAGCCCUUGGGAGCUGGAGAGAGAUGAUGAAGGAUAGACACUGUGAUGGGCACUAAAGCAUGGACUUGAAGUGUGCACUCUGGUGGCAGGUACUCCUAUCUGAUCCCUGUGGUCUGAUGUGUCUGAGGAGGGCUUAGGUGCUGUGUGUCUUAGCUGUGGCUUUCUCCAUUUAUUAAUUUCAGUGUUGAUUGAAAUGUUUGUCUUUAUUUAUAGCAUAUCCAACAGCUGUGUUGCAACAGAGAAGGUAAGUUUAGAGCUUGGGGCAGGGGGCAGAGGGGUUGGCAACCCAGCUCUAGGUAGUUAAUCUGUUUUGGUUUUUUUUCUAAUACAAUCCUUGAAGUUUAUAGACAGAUGUUGGAUUUAUGGAUAUCAGACAGCUGCUAAAGCCAUUACAAAAUGGCAAGGAACAGGGCAUUUAUUAUAUAUUACAUAGGGAGGAGAAGAGACUAAUUUGAGAAUUAGAUUUUUAAUCAUUCUUGCAGUAUUUAUUUGUCCUUUAAGAUACAGACACAGAUGCAAAUUCAUCAGUCUGUUCAGUGAGAUAUUUUUCUAUUCAUUUUCCUGACUGAGAAUUAUUGUUAGUGUCACACUUGUUGCUAGAAGCUAUUGAGCUGGUCAUGCUCAUUUUUCUCUGCUGAGCUCAGUGAGUUUUACUCUCCACUCUGUGAUGGAGGAUUCCUGGUUGCUGUUAGCUGUGUUUUAAAGACAAGAAUUCCUGGGUUUAGUCAAGUUUAGGACCUGCUUGUUCUAAAUCCUAAUAAAAGCAUUAGCUAAUAUAAAUCUCAAUUCUCUGAUGUGGACUAUAAGGGACUUGCCUGUCAAUACAUCUGAAUUACUUUGUUUUGACAGGUAAUUAGAUCUGGAUCUCUUCCUUAGCUAACAAAGCAAACAAUCUCAGAUAUGCUUUGCUAGGCAGGAUCAUGUGUAGACAGCAAGGUUUUAUUAUCUGUGAGGAAAAAUGCAUUGUAAGAACAUGAAAUCUAGAUGACCUUGAAUGAAAACAAAGAAAUAAAAUUUUAUGAGAUACAGUAUAUUAAUGCCCCAACUUGGAUGUAGGAAUUCCUGAGCAGUAAUUUUGUUUUAAGUGCCAUUAAAGCUCUGUGUACAAUCUGUACUUCUGCAGGAAAUGUGAAAUAUCCCAGGGACUGGCUGGCUACCUGAAGGACCCCAGUGUCUGCCUUUCAUGGCAAGUGACCUGAGCAUUGAUGUGCCCAUGGUAGCAGUUCAGGUGGGUGUGUUACCUGUAUUUGCAGACUUUUCUUGUUCUCUGCAUUGUACCACAAACUGCACGUGUCCUGUACAAUCCAUUUGGCCCUCUUGUAAUGUCUGGUUUUCCUAAUAAACAUCUUUUGAAGUCUCUGCUUUGUGGCUGAUUUCCAAGGGUCCAAGUUCCCAUGUGUUAGGUCCAUCCUUCUGAUGUAUUGUUUGGAUCAUGCAGGGAGGAGAAGAGAAACUCAUAACUGCUUCCUUUGAAUAAAAACCUUAUUUGAAGCUGCUGUGUCCACACAAGACCUUUGCUAGUAGUUUCUCUAUUUUGAGUAUUUUCUUGGAGUGUUCUGAGGCUUAAGAUCAGACAGAAAAACAUUGUAAGCAAAAUCAAAGAAAUUUCUUAAGAAAAAUUAAUUCUGAAUGUUGGUCUGGGAGAUGACAGUGGAACAAAUGGGAAAUUGUGAUCUUGGGCUCUUGUUCCUGAGAAGUGCCAAGUCCUGUGGGGAAACUUCAGCCACAUGAAGGUGAACAACCUUGUGUUUACAUGAAUACCAAGAGUUUGGCUUCAUCCUGGCUAGUUUUUAUUUCAGAGGAGGACUGAGAAGAGAGCAGAAUGCACCCAAUGGUGUGUUUUCAAUAUUCCUCCAUUUGGUUCUUUCUGGGGAGGAUGGAGGGUAGCCUGUGUGCCCAUGCAGAUCUGGUUUCAAGAGGUGGAAAUAUGCAUGCAUGUGUGUAUUGACUUCAAAAUCCUUUUUUUUCUGUAGCAGUCUUCUGGCAUGUCGUGGAGAUCAGUUUGGCUUUGUUUUUCAGUUCAGCUGGGCAGACAUUACCAGAAUCCCUCAGAAAGACACUGUUUUUUCCUAUGCUUAAUCCUUUUUACAUGCAGCAUUCUACUGAUCUUGCUGAAUAGCAGGAAUGUAGUUUCCUAACAACAGCUACUACAGAAGUGUAAAUUAAGAAGCUGGCAUGAGGUUAUUUUGGAGACUUGGCCAUGAAAACAGAAUUAGAGUUAAUCCUAUUAUAAAUAUGUUUGGCAACUUAAAAAAAAAAGGCAACAUCCAAAACCAAACAUGUUUGGCAACUUAAAAUCCAAAAGUUUUGAUGUUUGAUUCAGCUCUAACCCUUUUCAAGCAAACAAAAUCUUCUCAAAUGUCUCAUUUUGGCACACUGGUGUCAGUGCUGUGUGCAGUCCCUGAGCACGGGCCCUGGUGUGGCCUGCUGGCAGGCAGCUUGCUCCCUGGGAACAGGGUGGUGUGAUGUUGCACUCAGUCAAAAUUCAGUGAAUGUCUCCUGUUAUGGAAAAAGUUUAUCCUGUGAAUAACCAAGCAAAUCACUUUCAUGGGGAGAGAAGAGACACUUUUCAACUAGGACUGGCCUGAAGGAAUCUUUGGCUGCAGAUGAGGAGCCAUCCCCAGCCCUGCAAGUCACCAGAACAGGAAUAAACUUGCUUUGUGU